CAAGCCUGGGGACACAAGCAACAAGACACCCGGUGAGAUGCGCACCUGGAUCUGCUAUGUCAGACAACCAGAAAGCUCUGGGCAGGUGGGGUAGGUUGGAAGAAAUGUUUCCUGCUAAUGCCUACCUUGAAGUGAGUUAAACUUCUGUUGAGAUACUGCAUCAGCUGGCAAUGGUGUUUAAUGCAGUCAAGGAGCCACAUUUUUGUUUAAUUGAAGUGAUGCUCUCAUUGCCUGGUGUGAGUGGGUUUUCCCUGCAUUCUCCUCUCUGAGAAACCAGCUAUGAGAUGCUUUGUCCCUGACUCCUGGGCAGCCUUGAAGAUUACACACGUUUUUCCAUCACCUGCUGGAAUUGCACUGACAUAAUGCAUCCACAUAAAAGAUGAGAAAAACUAGAGUACCUCAUCUAUUAAAAAAAAA